UGCUGUAGGCAAAAUGACCGCCAAUUUAUCUACAAACCAACUGUGACUAUACUUUGGAAGUUAACUAAUUGGCUGUGAAUACUUUUGGGACAUUCUAAGUUGGAUUUAUGGAGCCCGGAUUAUCUAAACUCUGCCCCGAGAGUGAACAUUCAGGUCCUUCUCUUCUGUUCUUCCUGCCCCUCCCUUCUCUACGGAGACCCUUAGAUUUCUAUCUGCCUUCAGUUCAUGUUUUUGACCUCCUGUGAUUUUCUGUGACUGAACAUAUUAUUUCUACAAUUUUGUUGUCUGGGAUUGGACCAGAUUGCAUUCCAGGGCAGCGUAGCAUUUAACGUCUUUGUCUUCUGUAUGGACCAUGUUCAGCGACAACUUCUGGAACUGGAAGUCAAUACUGUGAUCCACAUUGAUGUGGCGAUUGCUGUGUAUGGAACUUUGGAGCUAUUGCGUUUGCCUAAGCCUGUGUAGCUUACAGGGAAUGUUGCUAACUGGCUGUCUUGGUGUUCACUCAUUUUGUGCCUAUCUGUAUGUUCACAGCAUCCAAACCUUGCAUUGCCUGGCCAUGCUGUGAAAAUGUUGUCACUUCAGUAAGAU